AUGGGUAAAGACAUGUUAAUACAGUUAUGGAUGGCAAAUGACUUUAUUGCAUCAGAAACAAGAGGCCAACAAAUUUUUGAUUUACUAGUUUGGAGAUGUUUCCUCCAAGUUGUGAACAUUCAAAAUAAUGAGCUCUGUGAAUUUCAAGAUGAGUUCAUGCACCGACCAACUACUUAUAGGAUGCAUGAUCUCAUGCAUGACCUUGCCGACUCUGUAAGCGGAAAUGAUUGUUCCAUUCUGCAAGAAUCUUCAUCAUGUCGAGAAAUUCUGCAAGGAUCCACAGGCACCAGUUCAUUACAGCAUGAGGUUCAACACCUAUCACUUGAUAAUGUGAGUUACAAUACUAUUGCAGCCAUGAAGGAAAUUCUAGCUCCCCGAGCCCGCACAAUAUUAUUAGUCCGGAAGUUGGAUUGGAGGAACGAGACUUAUCUGGAUAUGGUCAAAUCUGUGAGUAUGGCCACGUCAAAAUUCAUGUCCUUGCGAGCGACAAUCUCAAUCGAGACACAAACAAACUUGAAGCAUCUUCGCUAUCUUGAUUGCUCUUAUUCUCAUAUAUCUGGGCUGCCUGAAGCCACUGCCAAGUUGUAUAACUUGCAAACACUGAAUCUCACGGGUUGUAAAUGCCUAGAGAAAUUACCAGAAGGCAUGAGAUAUAUGAGCAGUCUUCGGCACAUCUUCCUCACUGGAGCUAACCGGUUGAGGCGCAUGCCACAAGGUAUUGGUCAGUUGAAAUCUCUAUGGACAUUGACCGAUUAUGUCAUUGAUAGUGAUGCAGACCGUGGAAUUGAUCAACUGAAAGAUUUGAAUAUAGUUGGUGCUCUUUCUUUGACUCGGCUGAGAAAAGUGCAUAGUUCGGAAAAUGCUAAACAAGCCAAUUUGACCACCAAGCAUAAUUUGAAACAAUUGUUUCUCGAUUGGUAUGUACCUGAUUGCAGAAGCCAUGGAAAUGAAGUAGAUACUAAUACAGAAGGGAUAUUAGAGGUCCUUCAUCCUCACGAAAGCUUUAGUGCUAUCAAAUUAUACUGGUGCCAAACUGUCAUCAUGGAUGCACAACUCUACACUUCUAGAACAUCUCAGUAA
rnacentral:rRNA from 1 species